UGGGGAAUUUUGGACAAUGGGCGAAAGCCUGAUCCAGCAAUGCCGCGUGUGUGAAGAAGGCCUUCGGGUUGUAAAGCACUUUUGUCCGGAAAGAAAUCCUCUGGGUUAAUACCUCGGGGGGAUGACGGUACCGGAAGAAUAAGCACCGGCUAACUACGUGCCAGCAGCCGCGGUAAUACGUAGGGUGCAAGCGUUAAUCGGAAUUACUGGGCGUAAAGCGUGCGCAGGCGGUUUUGUAAGACGGAUGUGAAAUCCCCGGGCUUAACCUGGGAACUGCAUUCGUGACUGCAAGGCUAGAGUAUGGCAGAGGGGGGUAGAAUUCCACGUGUAGCAGUGAAAUGCGUAGAGAUGUGGAGGAAUACCGAUGGCGAAGGCGGCCCCCUGGGCCAAUACUGACGCUCAUGCACGAAAGCGCGGGGAGCAAACAGGAUUAGAUACCCUGGUAGUCCACGCCCUAAACGAUGUCAACUAGUUGUUGGGGAUUCAUUUCCUUAGUAACGUAGCUAACGCGUGAAGUUGACCGCCUGGGGAGUACGGUCGCAAGAUUAAAACUUAAAGGAAUUGA
rnacentral:rRNA from 1 species